AAAAUUUACAGAGGCCCGAGCUACAAAAGAGAUUUGAUCAGAAAAUACGAGAGACGAGGGGCGCUGAAACAGGGGAUUUGGCCAAAUAUAGGGAGACCGGAACUCGUUACCGGCGCUCGAACCUUAGUCGAACGUUCAUGGUAGUUGUCGAGCGGGCUUUCUGGAGGUCUGGGAGGGUCCUCGAUUUCAGAGCACAGAAGAGGACGCGGAACAGG
rnacentral:lncRNA from 1 species